rnacentral:rRNA from 1 species
AGUGGGGAAUCAUAGACAAUGGGCGCAGGCCUGAUCUUGCCAUGCCGCGUGAGCGAUGAAGGCCCUAGGGUUGUAAAGCUCUUUCGCCAGGGAUGAUAAUGACAGUACCUGGUAAAGAAACCCCGGCUAACUCCGUGCCAGCAGCCGCGGUAAUACGGAGGGGGUUAGCGUUGUUCGGAAUUACUGGGCGUAAAGCGCGCGUAGGCGGAUCGGAAAGUUGGGGGUGAAAUCCCGGGGCUCACCCCGGAACUGCCUCCAAAACUAUCGGUCUAGGGUUCGAGAGAGGUGAGUGGAACUCCGAGUGUAGAGGUGAAAUUCGUAGAUAUUCGGAAGAACACCAGUGGCGAAGGCGGCUCACUGGCUCGAUACUGACGCUGAGGUGCGAAAGUGUGGGGAGCAAACAGGAUUAGAUACCCUGGUAGUCCACACCGUAAACGAUGAAUGCCAGACGUCGGGCAGCAUGCUGUUCGGUGUCACACCUAACGGAUUAAGCAUUCCGAAUGGGGAGUACGGUCGCAAGAUUA